rnacentral:rRNA from 1 species
CCUACGGGUGGCUGCAGUGGGGAAUAUUGGACAAUGGGGGCAACCCUGAUCCAGCCAUGCCGCGUGUGUGAAGAAGGCCCUCGGGUUGUAAAGCACUUUCAGUGAGGAAGAACGCCUGGUGGUUAAUACCCAUCAGGAAAGACAUCACUCACAGAGGAAGCACCGGCUAACUCCGUGCCAGCAGCCGCGGUAAUACGGAGGGUGCGAGCGUUAAUCGGAAUUACUGGGCGUAAAGCGCGCGUAGGUGGCUUGAUAAGCCGGUUGUGAAAGCCCCGGGCUCAACCUGGGAACGGCAUCCGGAACUGUCAAGCUAGAGUGCAGGAGAGGAAGGUAGAAUUCCCGGUGUAGCGGUGAAAUGCGUAGAGAUCGGGAGGAAUACCAGUGGCGAAGGCGGCCUUCUGGACUGACACUGACACUGAGGUGCGAAAGCGUGGGUAGCAAACAGGAUUAGAUACCCUGGUAGUC